CGGUGGAUGAUGUGGAUUAAUUCGAUGCAACGCGAAGAACCUUACUACCCUUGACAUGUCCGGAACUUGCCAGAGAUGGCUUGGUGCCCGAAAGGGAAUCGGAACACAGGUGCUGCAUGGCUGUCGUCAGCUCGUGUCGUGAGAUGUUGGGUUAAGUCCCGCAACGAGCGCAACCCUUAUCAUUAGUUGCUACGCAAGGGCACUCUAAUGAGACUGCCGGUGACAAACCGGAGGAAGGUGGGGAUGACGUCAAGUCCUCAUGGCCCUUAUGGGUAGGGCUUCACACGUCAUACAAUGGUCGGUACAGAGGGUUGCCAAGCCGCGAGGCGGAGCCAAUCCCACAAAGCCGAUCGUAGUCCGGAUUGUUCUCUGCAACUCGAGAGCAUGAAGUCGGAAUCGCUAGUAAUCGCAGGUCAGCAUACUGCGGUGAAUACGUUCCCGGGUCUU
rnacentral:rRNA from 1 species